rnacentral:pre_miRNA from 1 species
CAACUACUCCCUCUGUCUCAAAUUUCUUGUCUUAGAUUUGUCUAGAUACAGAUGUAUCUAAUACUAAAAUGUGACUUGAUACAUCCGUAUCUAGACAAAUCUAAGACAAGAAUUUUGGGACGGAGGGAGUACUUU